rnacentral:rRNA from 1 species
AAAGAAACAUCGAUUUCCAAAGUAGCGGCGAGCGAAAUGGAAGAAGCCCAAACCGAUAUUGUUACGGCAAUAUCGGGGUUGUAGGACUGCAAUAUUCAAUUAACAAUGAACUGGAAUGGUCUGGAAAGUCCAUCCAUAGAGAGUGAAAGGCUCGUACAGGUAAGUUUGUUAUGCGAAAGCAGUAUCCUGAGUAUGGCGGGACACGAGGAAUCCUGUCAGAAUCAGCCGGGACCACCCGGUAAGGCUAAAUACUCCCAAGAGACCGAUAGUGGACCAGUACUGUGAAGGAAAGGUGAAAAGAACCCCGAACAGGGGAGUGAAAUAGAACCUGAAACCAUACGCUUACAACCGGUCGGAGCAGCUUCGUGCUGUGACGGCGUGCCUAUUGAAUAAUGAGCCUACGAGUUACUAAUCACUAGCGAGGUUAAGUGCAAGGAUGCACGGAGCCGAAGCGAAAGCGAGUCUGAACAGGGCGUUUAGUUAGUGGUUGUAGACGCGAAACCUUGCGAUCUACCCUUGAGCAGGUUGAAGGUUGGGUAAAACCAACUGGAGGACCGAACGAAUAAGCGUUGAAAAGCUUCUCGAUGACUUGAGGGUAGGGGUGAAAGGCUAAUCAAGCUGGGAAAUAGCUCGUACUCCCCGAAAUGCCUUUUGGGGCAGCGUUGUAAUAAAGAGUCUACUGGAGGUAGAGCUACUGAUUGGAUGCGGGGGCUUCACCGCCUACCAAAUCCUGACAAACUCCGAAUGCCAGUAGUAUGAUUUACAGCAGUGAGUGACUGGGUGCUAAUGUCCAGUCGCAAAAGAGGAACAACUCAGACCAGCAACUAAGGUCCCGAAGAAUAUGCUAAGUUGAUCUAACGAUGUUUUGUUGCAGAGACAGCUAGGAUGUUAGCUUGGAAGCAGCUAUUCAUUCAAAGAGUGCGUAACAGCUCACUAGUCGAGCGACAGAGCGUGGAUAAUAAACGGGCAUCAAGCAUAUCACCGAAGUUCUGGGCGCGAGAGCGCGGUAGGGGAGCAUUCCAUUCAGCGUCGAAGCAGUUUCGUGAGGAAUUGUGGAGCGUAUGGAAAAGCAAAUGUAGGCAUGAGUAACGAUAAUGCGGGAGAGUAACCCGCACACCGCAAGACCAAGGUUUCCUGAUCAACGCUAAUCGGAUCAGGGUUAGUCGGGUCCUAAGGGUAAGCCGAACGGCGAUCUCGAUGGAUAAUCGGUUAAUAUUCCGAUACUAACAUAUACCUCGAUGGAGAGACGAAGGAACGUAAGUGCCGCCACCUGACGGAAUAGGUGGUUAAAGGGCGUAGGUAUAGGGGCAGAUUAAGAGUUAGUCCUUGCUGAAACCUGACAGUACAGAGAGCCUACGGGCAAUUUGAUAGAGCACCCAAGUCGACUUCCGAGAAAAUCUUCUAAGUUAUAGUAUAUGUUACCCGUACCGUAAACCGACACAGGUGGUCGAGGAGAGUAUCCUAAGGUGCUCGAGUGAAUCACGGUUAAGGAACUAGGCAAAUUAACCCCGUAACUUCGGGAAAAGGGGUCCCUAUGAAAGUAGGGCGCAGCGAAGAGGUCCAGGCGACUGUUUAUCAAAAACACAGGGCUCUGCAAAUUCGAAAGAAGACGUAUAGGGCCUGACACCUGCCCGGUGCUGGAAGGUUAAGAGGGGAUGUCAUCGCAAGAGAAGCAUUGAAUCGAAGCCCCAGUAAACGGCGGCCGUAACUAUAACGGUCCUAAGGUAGCGAAAUUCCUUGUCGGGUAAGUUCCGACCUGCACGAAUGGUGUAACGAUCUGGACACUGUCUCAACCGUGAGCUCGGUGAAAUUGUAGUCCCGGUGAUGAUGCCGGGUACCCGCAACGGGACGAAAAGACCCCGUGAACCUUUACUAUAGCUUAACGCUGAAUUUGGGUACACAAUGUGUAGGAUAGGCCGGAGGCUUUGAAGCGGGCACGCCAGUG